rnacentral:rRNA from 1 species
UACGUAGGUGGCAAGCGUUGUCCGGAUUUACUGGGCGUAAAGAGCGCGCAGGCGGUCGUUCAAGUCGCGUGUGAAAGCCCCCGGCUCAACUGGGGAGGGUCACGCGAUACUGAUCGACUCGAAGGCAGGAGAGGGAAGUGGAAUUCCCGGUGUAGUGGUGAAAUUCGUAGAUAUUCGGAAGAACACCAGUGGCGAAGGCGACUGACUGGACAAGUAUUGACGCUGAGGUGCGAAAGCGUGGGGAGCAAACAGG